rnacentral:lncRNA from 1 species
UUUUUUUAUUCCCAAAAAUAACCCAAUUUUCAUCCAAACUCAAAAUUGAUCUAAUCCCUGCUUAUACCUCAAUUUAUACCAAUUCCUGGAAUAGCCACUUUUUGCUUAUCCCGAACCAAACGAUAUCAAAAUAAAUAACAUAACAAUAGUUACUCUUUUUUCUCCAACUAUUAAUAUUUUAUUUUUUUAUUAAAUUUUUAUUAUUUAAUAUCUUUUUUUAAAGAUAAAUAUUUAUAUAUUAUCUCUAUUCUAUCUAUUAAUAUUUUAUUUUUGUAUUAACUUUUUUAUUUUGAUACGUCUAGUUUAAGUUAUAUAUUUAAAUUUUAAAUUAUCAAAAUUUAAAAAAAAUAUUGAAAAAUAUUUAAUGUAUAUCUAUAUCUGCACUAUAUAUAAUUUUUUAUAUUAAUUUAAAAUAAUUAUUAAAAUAUUUGUUAUGUACAUUUGGACAUAUGCUCAACUAAUAUAUAUAUAGAGAGAGAGUUGGGUUGGAAUACUAUUAAUAGCAAAAGAUCAUUUUUGUUAUCAAGUUUUUAACUCUUGGAUGAAAUAUUGUAGGAUUAAGAUAAUAUUAGUCCCUUAGGAUUGAUUGGUCCCCCUAGGGUUGAGUAGUCCCCAUUGGGUUAUAAUAUUUAAUCCAAUAAUUAGAAAUGAUAAAAGAAAUUUAUCUAAAGGCUAAAAAUUUGAUAGCAAAAAAAAGUCUUUUUCUAUCAAUAGUAUUCUAGCCCAACUCUCUCUCUCUCUCUCUCUCUAUAUAUAUAUAUAAUUGAGCUCCUAUGCUUUUAAAAGAAUCAAGUCAUUGAUGCUUGUAAGUUUUCGGCCCUUGAAUUAAGGGAUGUGCGGUUAGGAUGAUAUGGGCCCCGUAAAGUUGAGUGGGUGGUUGGUUGAAUAGUAUAAUCUAACAGACAAAAAUGAUCAAAGGCGUAGAUCUAACAGUAAAAAAAGUGAGGCUACUAUGCUUCUCGAAGCACGGAGCCUUCCGUGCUUCCAGGUCGUUUUCCAUGUUGCGACUUUUGAAUUGUCGAUCGGCUCUGUUAAACUUGAUCUAGAGUAUUUGAAGUACCUAGCAAAUAAAUUAUGCGAUUUUUCGAUAUUAUUUGCCUAGUGAAUAAAGGGGCUCAAAAUCAACGGCUGAAAAUAAAAAUUUUACAAAACGUGAUAAUAUGACAUUAAAAUUUUAGAUUAAAGAUAUUGAUCUUGUUUUAUAUAAUAUAAAGAAUUUUCUAUUAAAAUUUCACAUGAUUUGGAUAUUUCUACACCGUUAA